rnacentral:rRNA from 1 species
GUCCGCACCAUAAACGAUGGAUACUAGGUGUUUGGGAAGUUAACCUCCUGAGUACUGAAGCUAACGCAUUAAGUAUCCCGCCUGGGGAGUACGGUCGCAAGGCUAAAACUCAAAGGAAUUGACGGGGGCCCGCACAAGCGGUGGAGUAUGUGGUUUAAUUCGAAGCAACGCGCAGAACCUUACCUACUCUUAACAUCCCAGGACGCAUGCAGAGAUGUAUGCUUCACUUCGGUGACCUGGAGAUAGGUGCUGCAUGGCUGUCGU